UUCCGCAGCAAAAGUAUGAAGUGUAUGAGUGUAUGAAUUAUAUAAACAUCAUAGUUCUGUAAGAUGAUCAUACUUUUUGUCACAUCAUAAUGCUAUUAAGAUGAUUUACUCAUUGAUAUUGUUUUAAUAUAGAAAGAGGAAAUGGUGAAGGUGCUCCAUCACAGAAGGAAUCCCCAAGAGACGAGGAAACAACUUCAUUGACAGUAGAUAAAGGUUGAAAUCGGUCAGCCAUGAUGUUCACCUGGCAGCGAUGGCCAUGAUAUGGAAGCCUGUUCUCAGACACACUGGAUGCUAACCUGUCACCAAUCUAUCACAGGACAGCUCAAUCAAUCAAUCAAUCUUUAUUUAUACAGUGCUAAAUCACAACAAAAUUCAUCUCGAGGCACUUAACAUAUAGAGCAGGUAUAGACAAGACCCAACAGUCUUCCAUGAGCAGCACUUGGCAACAGUGGCAAGGAAAAACUCUCCUUAAAUGGGAAGAAACCUCAGGCAGAACCAGACUCAGAGUCAGGGUAACCCUAAAACUGCCUCAACCGGUUGGGGUUGAGAGGAGAGAAAGGAAGGACAGAGGAGAGAAGCACAAUGAAAAUCAACGAUGGAGCUAGAAGGUCCGGGACUGGAAU